AGGGGGGAGAGGGGUAGAGUAUCCAUGUGUUCUAUACUAUUGAAAAGUUUAGCAACCAAAUUCUAUCACCCAAAAUAUUAAUAACUGUCUACAUGAAAUAUUGGUCAGAAACAUUAAAUGACUAUAGUACAUACUGCAUGCACGGAAUAUUACAAACGACAGGUAAAAUGGUUACAAAUCUAUAGUAAUACAUGAGAAUGUUAGCAAUCCAGGAAUACAGGAGGUGGAUGGGUGCUAGUUUGGGUUCACUGGAGAUGUAGAAAUUAUGACCCAUUUACAAGGUUAAAUCUUUGGGGAAUUUAGACAAACAAAACACACAGAAAUGUGGAUGUAAACAUUAUAUAUAUUUAUAGAACAUUUGGCUGUUACAUUGGGCUACUGUUACAGUUUAGAAAUUAUUUGCCACAGAAAUAUAAAACCAAUGUGGCAAAUAGGCGAUCGACAAGGCUAUUGAAGGACCUAACUUGAAUUACAAAUAUAAUAAUUUUAAAAAAGUCAAAGGAACUUAAAAAGAAAGGAAUAAAAAAAAUACAAAAGUGAUAUGGUGAUCAGUGAACAUUAUGACCCCAAAUAAUAAUAAACCGAGAAGAGGAGUAUAUUUCUCUCACUAUAGAAAGUAAUGCUUGAAUCUGAAUGAAUCUGACUGAGAACUGGAACAGAUAUAUGACAUGUUUAUUCUUCCUUCGCUUUUGUAGGGCGGGGGGACACAGUGGCGUAGCAAAGGGGGUGGGGGGUGGUCCGUUCCGGGAGGCACUUUUUUGGGGUCACCUGACAGCAUGGGUCACCCGGUGGGCCCCUUGGACGGCGGCCCUGGCCGUUUGCCGUGUGGGCCAGGGCCGCAAAUGGUGAUGGCAGGUACUCGAUCGCAGAGGUCUGCAGGGCGGCCGGGCCCCCUGGAGUGACAGGCCCGGUUACAGCUGCCACCCCUGCAACCGGGGUAUAUACGCCAGUGUCCCCUCCAUCCCCUGUACAGAUCCCCCUCCCUCCCCUGCAACGUCCCCCUCCCUCCACAGAUCCCACUCUGUCCCUGCACCCUCCACACACACCCUCCCUCCCAAAAAAUAAAAGUAUAUAUUUUUAAAAUGUGUAAAAAAUUUAAUUCAAUAAGCUGCGUUUCACUACUAAGUGUUUCUUUUCACACCAAUAAAAAGUUAAAUAAUCUGAAGCGCUUCAGUAGCAAUAAUUAUUUAAAGGAACACUCUGCUCAAAUGGGCAAAAACCCUACCCCCAUAAAAUCACUGUUUAGUAGAUAUGCCCCCAAUGAAUUACAUGCAUGAAUUUUUCAGGCAUGUGUUCAUUGGGUGUAUAUCUUAAAAAAGCUUGAAAAGGUUCUAAACAGUGUUGGGCUAGAGGCGUUGAGUACUUAAAAGAGGUUUGUCUGGUGCAGCCACGGACGUCCGUGACUGUACCGGAUAUGAAAUGGGUCGAGAUAGGGGCGUCAAACUCAAGGGCCAGCCCUGGGCGGCAAAAGCUCUUGCUAUGCCACUGGGGGGACGACAUCCUGAUAGUACAGUAAUGACUGCACUCUCUGGCGGGCUCUGGCCAUGUUUCUCAGUGACUGGAGCUUGUAGAAUCAAAGCACUUGCUACCUGUACGUCUCUACCAGUGUGUGCUAUGGGACAGUGAGGGAGAUUUUAAAUCUCCCCUCAAGCCCUUGAAGGACUGAGUUGCUUUUUUGGGCUGGUGCGUACACAUCACACCUGUUACAACUAUGUUAUGUUACUAUAUUAUAACCAUAGCAACAUAGAAAGCAUGGAUAUAGGUAAAAUAAAGUUCAGAGAUUGCAAAUUGGAAUUUCUUACAAAAGGAUAACGUGGUAAUCAGAAGUAUGAGAGUAACCUAUAUAGUGGCUAAAAUACAGUGAUCCCUAAUGGUUAUAACAGGAGUUUGCUAAACUCCUGCUUGUAUGAGUGUUCCUUACUUACUUUAAAGGACCACUAUAGUGCCAGGAAAACAUAUUUGUUUUCCUGGCACUAUAGUGCCCUGAGGGUGCCCCCACCCUCAGGGUCCCCCUCCCGCCCGGCUCUGGGGAGAGGAAAGGAGUUAAAACUUACCUUUCUCCAGCGCCAGGCGGGGAGUUCUCCUCCUCCUCUCCACCUCCUCUCCUCCUCUUCGGCUGAAUGUGCAUGCGUGGCAGGAGCUGCGCGCGCAUUCAGCCAGUCUCAUAGGAAAGCAUUCAUAAUGCUUUCCUAUGGACGCUUGCGUCUUCUCACUGUGAUUUUCUCAGUGAGAAGCACGCAAACGCCUCUAGCGGCUGUCAAUGAGACAGCCACUAGAGCCUUUAGAGGCUGGAUUAACCUAUUUAUAAACAUAGCAGUUUCUCUAAAACUGCUAUGUUUAUAGAAAAAAGGGUUAAUCCUAGCUGGACCAGGCACCCAGACCACUUCAUUAAGCUGAAGUGGUCUGGGUGCCUAUAGUGGUCCUUUAACUAUACCGUAAUUUAUACUGAAAGACUAAUCCCUACCUCUUCCAUCACUAACUUCUCAUUGGUCUAAAUAUGAAUCGUAUAGUUACAUUUUAUUUUUUGCCAAACAUAUCAAAUAUUUAAUCGACUUGCUUUAUUUUGGUGAAACUUUUCAGCUAUUUUAAGUUUAAGUGUCAAAUAAAUCGCUGAUUGUUAAUGAAAAUUAUACUCUGUUUAUUAUUAUUAUUUUUACUUCUGUUUAUAAUUCCAUUCAGUUAUAU